GUGGGGUCCACAGAAAUUGGUGACGUCAACACACUACGGAGGUCGACAGCGUGCGGCACACCAUGCAAUCCGUUUCCUUCGUAGCCGGCCUACUUCUGUCCGUUUAUCAAUCAUAUUGCUUUCAUCUCCUUCCUCGCAGACAUUGAAAUUCUUCUCAUUUUCGAAAAACCAUCUUCGCCUUCCUACUCUCAGAUACCAUAUCACUUAUUUUCUCCUCCAGAAGCUCAGCUCUCUUUCUUUCUCUUUCCUUCUUUCUUUCUCAGCUUCCAUCAACAUCUGAAAUCCUCUGCAUAGAAAUGUCUUCCGAAGCUGCCUUUUUUCCUAAGAAAGGGAAUGGAAAAGGAAAAGGAUUUCUCCCACCAAAAAGAGGCCAGAUCAAAGCUAAGAUAUUCAAAGAAAUCUUCAAACCAUUCAUCACAUUUGCCUCGAAGGCUGGAGAAAAACUGAGCAAAAGCGGCCGAAGUUCUGCAUCUGGAACACCGUCUCUUAGCACCUACACGUCAGAUGCGCAUUCCGAUUCCUGAUCGCCGAAGAUUCUCAAAUUUACUGAAGUAUUUCUGAAGACUUGGAGAUGGAAAUUUGAGUUGGGAAAGUGGAUCUUGCAUAUGGGUUUUCAUUGUUUUGUGAAGAUUUUCAUACAAUGAAUGAGGCUUUUCUGACUGUUUUAUAUGUGAAUUGCAUGAGAAAGAAAAACACCAAAAACCAAUUGGGUUUUGUCUAAUUCAGGUUUUUAUAUAUUGGGUUUGUCUGAAUUUUGGUUUCUCUGUAAAUUUCAUGAUGUUGUAAUCUAUGUUACUGUUAUUCUGCAA